ensembl:lincRNA 4930568A12Rik RIKEN cDNA 4930568A12 gene
CUUUCUAGUCCCAUAACCUCCCAGUUUACCGUUCGUUUCUGCCACCCAACCUGGAGACAGCAGUUGUGAAAUCUUCCCAGGCUUGUCACUUGGCGGGUCGCCAUCAGGACUACUAGGACAGACCUGACCAAAAGUCUCACUCACCAAGCUUCUCCGACCACCCCGGGGUGUCCACACUCGGUUCCUCCCAUGACAGCAGCUCCUUGUUCAGAGAGCUCUCCGUAUCACCUUGGAAAAAGAUGAAAAACUCAGUGGAAAAAUGAACAAGGGAUCCGAGUGUCAUCGUAAACACUCAAACCUGUUCAACUUCACUUAGAAUUAGAGACUUGGAAAUCCCUGCCCAUGAAGAACCCAUCUUAAUGGCAAGGAUCACAAGUUUGGCCACAUGCCUUACAAAAUGUUUCUAUGUAUCGGAGACAGAUGGGCUUUAAUCUAGAUCUCAGCGUACUGCCUCAGCAUCCUAGGGUUCAAGGAUAAUUGUGCACCACCACGCCCUGUUUCUGUCACAACUCUGAAAGAAGUUCUGCAAAACACAAAUGUGUGUCCCACCUCAGCUCCAAGCAACACCCGAGGCCUGGAUGGUGACUCCCAUAUCACCAACCAAAGACCUGCCACUGCCAACCCAGAUGCUCUGAGGGGCCUUUGUCUGGAAGCCAUCCUCACUAGCUAUUGUAUUAGCUCAGAUUUGGAUCCCGUCAUUAAACUUUACUCUUUGACUUCAUAAAGAUUCUCUUCCCUAUCCGCCUGACUAGUUACAAAAGUCAACAAUCUCUACUACAGGUCUCAAAAGGAGGAUUAAUAGUUGCUUGAUGAAGCAAGAAAGCAAAUGUGGUUGGCCAUAUGUUGCCAAGAAAAGGAAGAAUGUGUCUCGUUUUUCGAAGAAGAGGAAGUNNNNNNNNNNNNNNNNNNNNN